rnacentral:rRNA from 1 species
GACGAACGCUGGCGGCGUGCUUAACACAUGCAAGUCGAACGGAAAGGCCCUGCUUUUGUGGGGUGCUCGAGUGGCGAACGGGUGAGUAACACGUGAGUAACCUGCCCUUGACUUUGGGAUAACUUCAGGAACCUGGGGCUAAUACCGGAUAGGAGCUCCUGCUGCAUGGUGGGGGUGGGAAAGUUUCGGCGGUUGGGGAUGGACUCGCGGCUUAUCAGCUUGUUGGUGGGGUAGUGGCUUACCAAGGCUUUGACGGGUAGCCGGCCUGAGAGGGUGACCGGCCACAUUGGGACUGAGAUACGGCCCAGACUCCUACGGGAGGCAGCAGUGGGGAAUAUUGCACAAUGGGCGGAAGCCUGAUGCAGCAACGCCGCGUGCGGGAUGACGGCCUUCGGGUUGUAAACCGCUUUCGCCUGUGACGAAGCGUGAGUGACGGUAAUGGGUAAAGAAGCACCGGCUAACUACGUG